rnacentral:rRNA from 1 species
AGAAUCAACGCUGGCGGCGCGCCUAACACAUGCAAGUCGAACGAGAAAGCCGCAAGGUGAGUAAAGCGGCGUACGGGUGAGUAACACGUGGAUCAUCUACCCUCUAGUGGGGAAUACCGUUGGGAAACCGACGACAAUAUCGCAUAAGCUCGAGAGAGGAAAGCAGCAAUGCGCUGGAGGAGGAGUCCGCGGUCGAUUAGUUAGUUGGCAGGGUAAAAGCCUACCAAGACUGUGAUCGAUAGCCGGCCUGAGAGGGCACACGGCCACACUGGCACUGAAACACGGGCCAGACUCCUACGGGAGGCAGCAGUGGGGAAUCUUGCACAAUGGAGGAAACUCUGAUGCAGCGACGCCGCGUGAGCGAUGAAGCCCUUCGGGGUGUAAAGCUCUUUCGGCAGGGAAGAUAAUGACGGUACCUGCAGAAGCAGCUGCGGCUAACUACGUGCCAGCAGCCGC